GGACUGGUGACCGUAGAGUCGUGGAACGGGUGGCUUAGCGACUCGUCGUUGCAGAAGAAGCCCCGCUCGUACGGUUUGCCGAACAGGUAGAACAUCAGCACCGUCAUGCCCACUGAAAAAUUUCACCCGUGUUUCAGCAAUUUUCAUCGUUGAGCGUGAUUAUCUCCGUCUGGCUCCCAGGGGUGUACAAGCUUGGAUUUACCUUCGAGGAAGUAGCAAUACCAUUUUCCUCGUCUGGAUUACCGUAUACUUUUGAGGAUAAGAUACCGAACCACAUCAUCAGGAAAGUAAAGAGAGGCCUAUACUGCACCCCGGAGAGACGGCACAUCGCAGAUCCCGACGACAUCGUCAUAGUCACCGCGCCUCGCUGGUAUCCACGGACGUCGGUGAGAGAGAGAAAGAGAGGGACACGUAUUUGCGAGAAGCAAGAGUAAAGCUGAGAACAGAGCUACUCACCGAC